UACGUAGGGGGCAAGCGUUGUCCGGAAUCACUGGGCGUAAAGCGCGCGCAGGCGGCUAUCUACGUCCGGGGUGAAAGCCCAGAACUCAACUCUGGGAUUGCCUUGGAUACGGGAUGGCUUGAGGAUCGGAGAGGCAAGGGGAAUUCCACGUGUAGCGGUGAAAUGCGUAGAGAUGUGGAGGAACACCUGUGGCGAAGGCGCCUUGCUGGCCGAUUUCUGACGCUGAGGCGACGAAAGCGUGGGGAGCGAACAGG
rnacentral:rRNA from 1 species